GGCGUGGCGAGGCUCGCGCCCCCCGCCGCUGCCAAUGGCGUCGGCAUAAAGUGACCUUGGCGCCGCUCCCUCCUCUUCCGUCGCGCCGCAUCCGGGCGCCCGCCGCCGGUCCCGCCGCGCCUGCGCACAGCCGCGCUCAGCCCGUCAGCCCUGAGGAGCGGCAGCCGCAGAGGAGACGCCGGAUCGUGGCCCCGGGGACGCCGCCCGCCCGCUAAGAUGUUCGCCUGCGCCAAGCUCGCCGCUUCGCCCGCCCUGAUCCGCGCUGGAUCGAGAAUCUUGUACAGACCAAUUUCAGCAUCUGUGUUUUCUAGGCCAGAGGUCAGGACUGGAGAGGUACCUUAUAAACAAAAUUCUGUAUCUUCCUAAAUUACCUGGGCAAAUCCACACUUAAUGGGGCCCAAAACGCUGUCUCCCAACUAGCACUUAGAGAAUUCCAGACUAGUGCUGUCAGCAGGGACAUUGACACUGCUGCCAAAUUCAUUGGUGCUGGUGCUGCCACAGUAGGUGUGGCUGGAUCUGGUGCUGGUAUUGGAACGGUCUUCGGUAGUCUAAUCAUUGGCUAUGCCAGAAAUCCUUCUCUGAAGCAGCAGCUGUUCUCAUAUGCUAUCCUGGGAUUCGCCCUGUCUGAAGCUAUGGGUCUCUUCUGUCUGAUGGUUGCUUUCUUGAUCCUAUUUGCCAUGUGAAAGGAGAUCUGCCUGUACUAUUGGCAUUGGAAUGUAAUCCUGCAUAUUUUAUGGGACUCCCAAAAUGUUGGUGUCGUGGAAAUUGAUGCUAUUUCCAAAGUCAUUUCAUUAAAGAUAACGACUUUAACUGUCAA